rnacentral:rRNA from 1 species
UACGUAGGGUGCAAGCGUUGUCCGGAAUUAUUGGGCGUAAAGAGCUCGUAGGCGGUCUGUCGCGUCGGCUGUGAAAACCUGGGGCUCAACUCCGGGCCUGCAGCCGAUACGGGCUGACUAGAAUUCGGUAGGGGAGACUGGAAUUCCUGGUGUAGCGGUGAAAUGCGCAGAUAUCAGGAGGAACACCGGUGGCGAAGGCGGGUCUCUGGGCCGAUAUUGACGCUGAGGAGCGAAAGCGUGGGGAGCGAACAGG